AAUAGAGUACCCGGGGUAGUCCACGCCCGUAAACGAUGGAUACUACGCGUGUUUGAGCGGCAGGGUUUGAGUGGCUAAGCGAAAGUGAUAAGUAUCCCACCUGGGGAGUACGGGCGCAAGCCUGAAACUCAAAGGAAUUGACGGGGGCCCGCACAAGCGGUGGAGCAUGUGGUUUAAUUCGAUGAUACGCGAGGAACCUUACCAGGGCUUAAAUGUAGAUUGACGUAUUUGGAAACAGAUAUUUCUUCGGACAAUUUACAAGGUGCUGCAUGGUUGUCGUCAGCUCGUGCCGUGAGGUGUCAGGUUAAGUCCUAUAACGAGCGCAACCCCUGUUGUUAGUUGCCAGCGAGUAAUGUUCGGGAACUCUAGCAAGACUGCCAGUGUAAACUGUGAGGAAGGUGGGGAUGACGUCAAAUCAUCACGGCCCUUACGUCCUGGGCCACACACGUGCUACAAUGGCCGGUACAGAGAGCAGCCACGUUAGCGAUAAGGAGCGAAUCUAUAAACGCGGUCACAGUUACGGAUCGGAGU
rnacentral:rRNA from 1 species